AACUGUUGAUGUUGUCAGGCCAUUGCAACUUAUCAUCUUUUUCUGGUGUAUUUGUUGGUGUUAAACGAGACUGGAACACUGGGGCACUGGAACCAUGAGUGACAAACAUGACACUAAGCAUGUAACGUGUGACCUUGACCUUAAGGUUGGCUUGUCAGAGAAGAUUCUGCAGCAGGAUGGUCUGGGAAAAUCCCCUUGGAAUUACUUAUACAAUUCUCAUUUUCAAGAGAAAGUGAAUGAACCUUAAAUGCCUCAACUUCAGGAUCACUAAAUGACUUCUGUUUCCAUGCGACCCCCAUAUACAUGCGUGUGAGUUUAGCCCAGCACUCUUUGUUACGCACACAUUUGACAAUUAACCCUUUAAAUUCAGUCUUCAUGGCCAAAGCUAUGGCUCUAGAUGUAAACUUGUCAUGAAGCCUUUUAUGAAUAUCUGUUAGAUAAAUUGUUCCAUUUUCAGACAAAGAUAUGUUGUCUCUUAACCUGAAAUAUACAUUAUCAUGGAUUAUUAUACAAAUAUAAUGUAUAAAUAAUA